UGGGGAAUAUUGCACAAUGGAGGGAACUCUGAUGCAGCGACGCCGCGUGAACGAAGAAGGCUUUCGAGUCGUAAAGUUCUUUUAUAUGGGAAGAUAAUGACGGUACCAUAAGAAAAAGCCCCGGCUAACUACGUGCCAGCAGCCGCGGUAAUACGUAGGGGGCUAGCGUUGUCCGGAAUCACUGGGCUUAAAGGGUUCGCAGGCGGAAAUGCAAGUCAGGUGUAAAAGGCAGUAGCUUAACUACUGUAAGCAUUUGAAACUGCAUAUCUUGAGAAGAGUAGAGGUAAGUGGAAUUUUUAGUGUAGCGGUGAAAUGCGUAGAUAUUAAAAAGAAUACCGGUGGCGAAGGCGACUUACUGGGCUCAUUCUGACGCUGAGGAACGAAAGCGUGGGUAGCAAACAGG
rnacentral:rRNA from 1 species